GAGCGCAGGUGUCGCUCAGUUAAAAGCUGCGGCUGCAGAUCGGCGCCAACGCUACCGCUUCAUGGCUGCGGGUUGGAAAGCGGCAGGAUGGGGAGGAAAUGUUUUCUUUUAAAGCGAGGUUUCUGGAAGCAGGAGCUCCGGCCAGUGACUCUCCUCUCUUCAGGCUUUGGGACAAUGAAAUGUGUUCAGAGUGCUGAUGCUUCCUCCCUCUCUUUGUGUGGCUGCAUGUUUGAGGGGCUAAACAGCGCCACCUCCAGGUCGGAAAAGUAGUGAUUACAAGCAGAUUAAACACAUACAAGACACUUUAUAGCAAUCUCAAGAAUCAAAAGACACAAUUUGAAGCCAUCUGCGCCUUGACACACAUCAAUCUGUCUUGGUGGCAUCGGCAAUACAGCGGCGUUCUAAAUACGAAGACAAAUAUGGGGCAAAACACACCUACACAUGCUUUAACACCAACAGAUGAGUCAUAGUGAUGAUGAAAAUUUGAUAGCCUGCCUGACGCUCUCGAUCCACGCUAUCCGUCUUUCAAGAUAAGAUCUCCCAGCCUCUGCUGAUAAAUAGUGACAGAAUGGCAGUUACAUGUGAGCGAGUUGAAACUUGACGAACGGUGAGGUUAGCGCUCCAAACACAGAACAAUCAAUUUAACCACAGGAGAACUAAUAGGUACAUAUUUGAAUCACACCCAGAAUGAAUCACAGCCAAAGGCAGAAAAACAGAUGAACA